UACGUGGGGUGCAAGCGUUAAUCGGAAUUACUGGGCGUAAAGCGUGCGCAGGCGGUUGUGCAAGACAGAUGUGAAAUCCCCGGGCUCAACCUGGGAAUUGCAUUUGUGACUGCACGGCUAGAGUGUGUCAGAGGGGGGUAGAAUUCCACGUGUAGCAGUGAAAUGCGUAGAGAUGUGGAGGAAUACCGAUGGCGAAGGCAGCCCCCUGGGAUAACACUGACGCUCAUGCACGAAAGCGUGGGGAGCAAACAGG
rnacentral:rRNA from 1 species